ACCUAGGUGCACCUCUGCUUCUGAAAGAGGGCAGACUGUUUGGAGCAAAGGUGUAUAUGGUUGGUUUGUGUAGUGCUGUAAGCAAAUGUGUGGUGUAAGCCAGUGUGGUGUAAGCCAAUGUGGUGUAGUGGUUAGAGUGCUGGACUAGGACCAGGAAGACCCGAGUUCAAAUCCCCAUUCAGCCAUGAAACUAGCUGGGUGACUCUGGGCCAGUCACUUCUCCCUCAGCCUAACCUACUUCACAGAGCGGUUGUGAAAGAGAAACUCAAGUAUGUAGUACACCGUUCUGGGCUCCUUGGAGGGAAAGCAGGAUAUAAAUGUAAUAAUAAUUAUAAUUGUAAUUAUAAUUAUAAGCCCAGAGGCAGCAAAUUUUCUUUAAUGUCUGUUUCCAUUCUGUCAGGUCUGCACCUCCACCCCUGUUUGCACCUCAGUCCACACCUCUGUCUGUACCUCCAUCCAUGCCUAUGUACAUAACUCUACAUAUACAGUACCUCCCCUGUAUCUCCAUCUCUCUCCAUCCACACCUCCAUAUGUACAUCGAUCGGCAUUUCGUCCCUAUGUUCCUCAAUCAUUUCAACCUCUGUCUGCACCUCCGUCUGUACAUGGGAUCGACGGCAGAAGGUAGUGCUAGCAGAGUCAAGGAAAGAAAGUUCGGGUGCGUGAAGUGAAGCUGGAGGAAGCGCAACUGAAGGGAGAGGAAGCGCAACUGAAGAAGAUUGACCUCUGUUCGUUUGUAAAUAAUCUUAUAUUAUCUGUAGAGCGCUGUAGAAAGUUCUGGUGUUGCUGUUAUUAUUAUUAUUAUUAUUAUUAUUAUUAUUAUUAAAUACAUACCUCCGAAA